UUUGCUCAAUAAAAAAGAGGUUGUCACCAUUUUUUAGUUGUGGCUUCCAGCUACCAAAGUAUGUAAUGAACUGCUUUCCUAGCUACUCAAAGAAGUAAGUGGAUCCUUAUGGAAUGCUGGAGAAUCAGACUUUCGUGCUUCUCCUGAGAGUCAUCAGAAAAGCUUGGUAGAGGAGGGCAUUGGAUGCAUCCCACAGCCCCAUAGCAUCAUGAGGG
rnacentral:lncRNA from 1 species